rnacentral:piRNA from 1 species
UCUCAUCUGUCACUUCGAGUUGUUGGC